UACGGUCAUAUCAAGUCGAAACACUACUUCUCGUACGAUCACCGAAGUUAAGAAACGUCGAGCUAGGUCAGUACCUAGAUGGGUGACCGCUUGGCAAUACCAGGUGAUGUAAG